rnacentral:misc_RNA from 1 species
UCUCCUUCCUCUUUCUUCCUCCUCUCACCGCUCACUUCAUUUCUCUCCUUCUCCUUCCUCUCUCUCUCUUAAGCUGCAAAAGGGGAAUCUUUUUUCUAAUGCCCUUCGAGCUGUCUCGCCUUUCAGUCCUGACGCUAUAGUUUCUGAUACUUACAGAAGUGAAACAACUGAAUUAGCUGACAUAGACUGGGACAACCUUGGGUUUGCAUAUGUUCCCACUGAUUAUAUGUAUAUCAUGAAAUGUGCUAGAGGUGGAAGCUUUUCUAAAGGUGAAUUACAACGAUUUGGGAAUAUUGAGUUGAGUCCCUCAGCAGGAGUCUUAAACUAUGGGCAGGGAUUAUUUGAAGGCUUGAAAGCAUACAGGAAAAAAGAUGGUAAUAUUCUUCUGUUUCGUCCUCAAGAAAAUGCACUGCGGUUGAAUAUAGGUGCAGAAAGGAUGUGCAUGCCAUCACCUACUGUUGCACAGUUUGUGGAAGCAGUGAAAGCAACUGUUUUAGCAAACAAACGUUGGGUUCCCCCUCCAGGUAAAGGUUCCUUGUAUAUCAGGCCAUUGUUGAUGGGAAGUGGAGCUGUUCUUGGUCUUGCACCUGCUCCUGAGUACACCUUUUUAAUUUAUGUUUCACCUGUUGGAAACUAUUUUAAGGAAGGUGUGACCCCGAUUAAUUUGGUUAUUGAGCAUGAAUUGCAUCGGGCAACUCCUGGUGGUACUGGAGGUGUUAAGACUAUAGGGAACUAUGCUGCAGUUCUCAAGGCUCAAUCUGCUGCAAAAGCCAAAGGAUAUUCUGAUGUUCUAUAUCUAGAUUGUGUUCAUAAAAAAUAUCUGGAGGAGGUUUCGUCUUGCAAUAUUUUUGUUGUGAAGGAUAACGUUAUCUCCACUCCUGCAAUACAAGGGACAAUCCUACCUGGCAUUACAAGGAAGAGUAUAAUUGAUGUUGCUCGAAG